UGGCGGCAGUAGCGCGGUGGUCCCACCUGACCCCAUGCCGAACUCAGAAGUGAAACGCCGUAGCGCCGAUGGUAGUGUGGGGUCUCCCCAUGCGAGNNU
rnacentral:rRNA from 1 species